AAUGAACGCUGGCGGCAUGGAUUAGGCAUGCAAGUCGAACGAGAACGCCCGUUCGGGGUAGAAAGUGGCGAAAGGGUGAGUAACGCGUGAGUAACUUGCCUCCGAAGUCGGGGAUAACAGUUGGAAACGACUGCUAAUACCGGAUGUGACUAUUGAAUCGCAGUGGGGGACUCAUGAAAGCUAUAUGCGCUAGAGGAGAGCUUUGCGUGCCAUUAGCUGGUUGGUGGGGUAACGGCCCACCAAGGCGACGAUAGCUAGCCGGCCUGAGAGGGUGAUCGGCCACGAAGGGGACUGAGACACGGCCCUUACUCCUACGGGAGGCAGCAGUGGGGAAUAUUGGACAAUGGACCAAAGUCUGAUCCAGCAAUUCUGUGUGCACGAUG
rnacentral:rRNA from 1 species